rnacentral:rRNA from 1 species
GAUGAACGCUAGCUACAGGCUUAACACAUGCAAGUCGAGGGGUAACGAGAGGGAAGCUUGCUUUCCUUGUCGACGACCGGCGCACGGGUGAGUAACGCGUAUCCAACCUGCCCCCAACUAGGGAAUAACCUUGCGAAAGUAAGACUAAUACCCUAUAAUUUCCUCAGAUGUCAUCUGACGAGGAAUAAAGAUUUAUCGGUUGUGGAUGGGGAUGCGUCUGAUUAGCUUGUUGGCGGGGUAACGGCCCACCAAGGCAACGAUCAGUAGGGGUUCUGAGAGGAAGGUCCCCCACAUUGGAACUGAGACACGGUCCAAACUCCUACGGGAGGCAGCAGUGAGGAAUAUUGGUCAAUGGGCGGAAGCCUGAACCAGCCAAGUAGCGUGCAGGAUGACGGCCCUAUGGGUUGUAUACUGCUUUUAUACAGGAAUAAAGUUAGCCACGUGUGGUUAUUUGUAGGUACUGUAUGAAUAAGGACCGGCUAAUUCCGUGCCAGCCGCCGCCGUAACAC